GCGGAUGUGGUGGAAUUGGCAGACACGUCGGAUUUAGGUUCCGAUGCCAAAAGCGUGCAGGUUCAAGUCCUGUCAUCCGCA
rnacentral:tRNA from 1 species